rnacentral:rRNA from 1 species
CCUACGGGAGGCAGCAGUGGGGAAUAUUGCACAAUGGGCGAAAGCCUGAUGCAGCAACGCCGCGUGAGCGAUGAAGGCCUUCGGGUCGUAAAGCUCUGUCCUCAAGGAAGAUAAUGACGGUACUUGAGGAGGAAGCCCCGGCUAACUACGUACCAGCAGCCGCGGUAAUACGUAGGGGGCUAGCGUUAUCUGGAGUUACUGGGCGAAAAGGGUGCGGAGGUGGUUUUUUAAGUCAGAGGUGAAAGGCAGCGGCUCAAGCGUAGUAAGCCUUUGAAACUGGGGAACUUGAGUGCAGGAGAGGAUAGUGGAAUUCCUGGUGUAGCAGUGAAAUGCGUAGAUAUUAGGAGGAACACCAGUUGCGAAGGCGGCUCUCUGGACUGUAACUGACACUGAGGCGCGAAAGCGUGGGGAGCAAACAGGAUUAGAUACCCCGGUAGUC